AGGUGUCCGAUAGGUCGGAAUCUUCAUCGACCGUGAGGUCUCAGAAAACACCCCCAAAAUCUCGAAACAGACUUCAUCCAAAACAACGAAGUACAUAGAAACAUAGUCGGAUAGUCGUCGAGGCUCUGAUACCAUGUUAACAUCGAGAUUAAACCGAAAAAUCAUGAAAAAUCUAGAGAGAGAAAGUAGAGAGAAGGAGGAGCGUUUGAGAAGUCUCUGGAACUCAGAGAGAUUUUAUUAAACGAAGAACAGAAACAAA
rnacentral:lncRNA from 1 species